UAGAGUUUGAUCCCUGGCUCAGGAUGAACGCUGGCGGCGUGCCUAAUACAUGCAAGUCGAACGCUUUGUGGUUCAACUGAUUUGAAGAGCUUGCUCAGAUAUGACGAUGGACAUUGCAAAGAGUGGCGAACGGGUGAGUAACACGUGGGAAACCUACCUCUUAGCAGGGGAUAACAUUUGGAAACAGAUGCUAAUACCGUAUAACAAUAGCAACCGCAUGGUUGCUACUUAAAAGAUGGUUCUGCUAUCACUAAGAGAUGGUNCCCGCGGUGCAUUAGUUAGUUGGUGAGGUAAUGGCUCACCAAGACGAUGAUGCAUAGCCGAGUUGAGAGACUGAUCGGCCACAAUGGAC
rnacentral:rRNA from 1 species